GAUGAACGCUAGCGGCAGGCUUAAUACAUGCAAGUCGUGGGGCAGCAUGAGUAGCAAUACUUGAUGGCGACCGGCAAACGGGUGAGGAACACGUACACAACCUUCCUUCAAGCGGGGAAUAGCCCAGAGAAAUUUGGAUUAAUACCCCAUAAUAUAUUUGAUAAGGCAUCUUAUUAAUAUUAAAGCUUCGGCACUUGAUGAUGGGUGUGCGGCUGAUUAGAUAGUUGGCGGGGUAACGGCCCACCAAGUCUACGAUCAGUAGCUGAUGUGAGAGCAUGAUCAGCCACACGGGCACUGAGACACGGGCCCGACUCCUACGGGAGGCAGCAGUACGGAAUAUUGGACAAUGGACGAAAGUCUGAUCCGGCCAUGCCGCGUGAAGGAUUAAGGUCCUCUGGAUUGUAAACUUCUUUUAUAUGGGACGAAAAAAGGGCAUUCUUGUUCACUUGACGGUACCAUAUGAAUAAGCACCGGCUAAAUCCGUGCCAGC
rnacentral:rRNA from 1 species